rnacentral:rRNA from 1 species
AGAGUUUGAUCCUGGCUCAGGACGAACGCUGGCGGCGCGCCUAACACAUGCAAGUCGAACGAGAGAUGAAGAGCUUGCUCUUCAGAUCGAGUGGCGAACGGGUGAGUAACGCGUGAGGAACCUGCCUCAAAGAGGGGGACAACAGUUGGAAACGACUGCUAAUACCGCAUAAGCCCACGGCUCGGCAUCGAGCAGAGGGAAAAGGAGUGAUCCGCUUUGAGAUGGCCUCGCGUCCGAUUAGCUAGUUGGUGAGGUAACGGCCCACCAAGGCGACGAUCGGUAGCCGGACUGAGAGGUUGAACGGCCACAUUGGGACUGAGACACGGCCCAGACUCCUACGGGAGGCAGCAGUGGGGAAUAUUGCACAAUGGGGGAAACCCUGAUGCAGCGACGCCGCGUGGAGGAAGAAGGUCUUCGGAUUGUAAACUCCUGUUGUUGAGGAAGAUAAUGACGGUACUCAACAAGGAAGUGACGGCUAACUACGUGCCAGCAGCCGCGGUAAAACGUAGGUCACAAGCGUUGUCCGGAAUUACUGGGUGUAAAGGGAGCGCAGGCGGGAGAACAAGUUGGAAGUGAAAUCCAUGGGCUCAACCCAUGAACUGCUUUCAAAACUGUUUUUCUUGAGUAGUGCAGAGGUAGGCGGAAUUCCCGGUGUAGCGGUGGAAUGCGUAGAUAUCGGGAGGAACACCAGUGGCGAAGGCGGCCUACUGGGCACCAACUGACGCUGAGGCUCGAAAGUGUGGGUAGCAAACAGGAUUAGAUACCCUGGUAGUCCACACCGUAAACGAUGAUUACUAGGUGUUGGAGGAUUGACCCCUUCAGUGCCGCAGUUAACACAAUAAGUAAUCCACCUGGGGAGUACGACCGCAAGGUUGAAACUCAAAGGAAUUGACGGGGGCCCGCAC